rnacentral:lncRNA from 1 species
GUUUCUUUUGUAGGAUGUUCGUUGGAAGAAGCUGAAAUUGGUGGAGGGAGAGAAACCUCCCUACGACCAGCGAAGUUUCUUUGUGAUAUCUGACUCGACAAAGUCAAUGGUAUGAAUAGUCAUCUAGCUGCAAUAAUGAUUUCAUCGUCAGUGCGUAAAAGUUAAACUCGUUUCUUCUGUAGGAUGUUCAUUGAAAGAAGCCGGAAUUGGUGGGGGGCGAGAGACCUCUUUACGACCAGCAAAGUUUCUUUGUGAUAUCUGACUUGUCAUGUCAGUACGAGCAUUAUUAGUUCCAGGAUUUGAUCUAGGAGGACGAACCGGACGCCAUUGCAAAGAUGGUAAUAAAAGAUAAGUUUGUUCUUCUUUAUGUUCAAGAAUUAAUCUUGAUGCAUCACUUGUUUCUAUUCUUAAAAAUAGAAAAAAUAGCAAGAUUAUACAACAAUUAGCAAAAAAAAUGUUAAUUUUUGUUGCCAUGUUGAUUUAAUUUGUAGGAAAAAUGAUUGGAUUAUAUGAUUUUGGUGAUAUUUUUAUUUUUUUUG